rnacentral:rRNA from 1 species
ACGUAGAGUGUAAAGGCAAAAGAGAGCUUGAUUGCAAGACAUACAGGUCGAGCAAGGAUGAAAAUCGGACUUAGUGAUCCGGUGGGUCUGCGUGGAAGGGCCAUCGCUCAACGGAUAAAAGCUACCCGGGGGAUAACAGGCUUAUCUCCCCCAAGAGUCCACAUCGACGGGGAGGUUUGGCACCUCGAUGUCGGCUCAUCACAUCCUGGGGCU